rnacentral:rRNA from 1 species
UGGGGAAUAUUGCACAAUGGGGGAAACCCUGAUGCAGCGACGCCGCGUGAACGAAGAAGGUAUUCGUAUCGUAAAGUUCUGUCCUAUGGGAAGAUAAUGACAGUACCAUAGAAGAAAGCUCCGGCUAAAUACGUGCCAGCAGCCGCGGUAAUACGUAUGGAGCGAGCGUUGUCCGGAAUUGUUGGGCGUAAAGGGUACGCAGGCGGUUUAAUAAGUCGAAUGUUAAAGAUCGGGGCUCAACCCCGCAAAGCAUUGGAAACUGAUAAACUUGAGUAGUGGAGAGGAAAGUGGAAUUCCUAGUGUAGUGGUGAAAUACGUAGAUAUUAGGAGGAAUACCAGUAGCGAAGGCGACUUUCUGGACACAAACUGACGCUGAGGUACGAAAGCGUGGGGAGCAAACAGG